rnacentral:rRNA from 1 species
GACGAACGCUGGCGGCGUGCUUAACACAUGCCAGUCGAACGGAAAGGCCCUGCUUUUGUGGGGUGCUCGAGUGGCGAACGGGUGAGUAACACGUGAGUAACCUGCCCUUGACUUUGGGAUAACUUCAGGAAACUGGGGCUAAUACCGGAUAGGAGCUCCUGCUGCAUGGUGGGGGUUGGAAAGUUUCGGCGGUUGGGGAUGGACUCGCGGCUUAUCAGCUUGUUGGUGGGGUAGUGGCUUACCAAGGCAUUGACGGGUAGCCGGCCUGAGAGGGUGACCGGCCACAUUGGGCCUGAGAUACGGCCCAGACUCCUACGGGAGGCAGCAGUGGGGAAUAUUGCACAAUGGGCGGAAGCCUGAUGCAGCAACGCCGCGUGCUGGAUGACUGCCUUCGGGUUGUAAACCGCUUUCGCCUGUGACGAAGCGUGAGUGACGGUAAUGGGUAAAGAAGCACCGGCUAACUACGUG